rnacentral:rRNA from 1 species
AUUGAACGCUGGCGGCAUGCUUUACACAUGCAAGUCGAACGGCAGCGCCGUCUUCGGCCUGGCGGCGAGUGGCGCACGGGUGUGUAAUGCAUCGGAACGUCCCCAGUUGCUGUUUAUAGCCCGGCGAAAGCCGGAUUACUACCGCAUACGACCUGACGGUGUAAGCGGGGGAGCGAAAGACCUCGCGCUCUUGGGGGGGUCGAUGUGGGGUUAGCUAGUUGGUUGGGUGAAGGGUUACCAAGGCGACGAUCCGUAGCUGGACUGAGAGGAGGAGCAGCCACACUGGAAGUGAGACACGGCCCAGACUCCUACGGGAGGCAGCAGUGGGGAAUUUUGGACAAUGGGGGCAAACCUGAUCCAGCCAUGCCGCGUGGGGGAAGAAGGCCUUCGGGUUGUAAAGCGCUUUUGUUGGGGAAGAAAAGCUCUGGGCUAAUACCCCGGGGGGAUGACGGUACCGGAAGAAUAAGCACCGGCUAACUACGUG